rnacentral:rRNA from 1 species
UACGUAGGGGGCAAGCGUUGUCCGGAAUUAUUGGGCGUAAAGAGCGCGUAGGCGGUCCGAUAAGUCGGCUGUGAAAGUCAAGGGCUCAACCCUUGGAAGCCGGCCGAUACUGUCGGACUAGAGUCCGGAAGAGGCGAGUGGAAUUCCCGGUGUAGCGGUGAAAUGCGCAGAUAUCGGGAGGAACACCAAUUGCGAAGGCAGCUCGCUGGGACGGUACUGACGCUGAGGCGCGAAAGCGUGGGGAGCAAACGGG